GACGAACGCUGGCGGCGUGCCUAAUACAUGCAAGUAGAACGCAGUUGCGAACGGGUGAGUAACGCGUAGGUAACCUGCCCCAUAGCGGGGGAUAACUAUUGGAAACGAUAGCUAAUACCGCAUACUGUGAGAUGGACCUGCGUUGUAUUAGCUAGUUGGUGUGGUAAAGGCUCACCAAGGCGACGAUACAUAGCCGACCUGAGAGGGUGAUCGGAGACAAGCGGACUGAGAGACGGGCCCGACACCCAGAGGAGGCGGAAGAAGGGAAAUUACGGCACUGGACGGAAGACCGACAGAGCAACGCGGCGUGAGUGAAGAAGGGUUUCGGAUGGUAAAGAGCUGUUGUUAGGUAAGCGGUAACUAGCCAGAAAGGGACGGGUAAAUACGUGCCAGCAGCCGGGGUAAUUC
rnacentral:rRNA from 1 species